rnacentral:rRNA from 1 species
AGUGAACGCUGGCGGUAGGCCUAACACAUGCAAGUCGAACGGCAGCACAGUAAGAGCUUGCUCUUACGGGUGGCGAGUGGCGGACGGGUGAGGAAUACAUCGGAAUCUACUUUUUCGUGGGGGAUAACGUAGGGAAACUUACGCUAAUACCUCAUACGACCUACGGGUGAAAGCAGGGGAUCUUCGGACCUUGCGCGAUUGAAUGAGCCGAUGUCGGAUUAGCUAGUUGGCGGGGUAAAGGCCCACCAAGGCGACGAUCCGUAGCUGGUCUGAGAGGAUGAGCAGCCACACUGGAACUGAGACACGGUCCAGACUCCUACGGGAGGCCGCAGUGGGGAAUAUUGGACAAUGGGCGCAAGCCUGAUCCAGCCAUACCGCGUGGGUGAAGAAGGCCUUCGGGUUGUAAAGCCCUUUUGUUGGGAAAGAAAAGCAGCAGGUUAAUACCCCGCUGUUCUGACGGUACCCAAAGAAUAAGCACCGGCUAACUUCGUG